rnacentral:rRNA from 1 species
UACGGGGGGGGCAAGCGUUGUUCGGAAUUACUGGGCGUAAAGGGCUCGUAGGCGGCCAACUAAGUCCGUUGUGAAAGCCCUGGGCUCAACCUGGGAAUUGCAGUGGAUACUGGCGAGCUAGAGUGCGGUAGAGGAUGGUGGAAUUCCCGGUGUAGCGGUGAAAUGCGUAGAGAUCGGGAGGAACACCCGUGGCGAAGGCGGCCAUCUGGACCAGCACUGACGCUGAGGCACGAAAGCGUGGGGAGCAAACAGG